rnacentral:lncRNA from 1 species
AGCAAGUUCAACAUUUAACAAAAAAAUUAACAAACAUGACCUUAAAUUGAAACAUAACAAGAAAGUUCAACUAAAAGUAAACAAGCAUUGUUGCCCUAGAUAAGCAUUCUAGAAGAUCAUUAUAAAUCACUCAGCAUCGUCAAAUUCACAUAGCAGGUCAUUAGGAAGCAGAUGUGCAUGCUCGAUCGUGGUUCCAGCUGUAUUCCUUGGUGGUGUACGAAACAUUAUAUCUAUCGAAGAAGGAUUCGUAACCUUUUCCUUCCCCUUCCCCUUUUCGUUUUCAGUCUGAACUUUCUUCCCUGUUAGAAUUGUAUAAAUAUGAUGUAUGAUUAUUCAAAUGUUUAAGAUGCGAUGAAGUAUAUAUAUGAUAGUAUUGAACUUGUUGGAAAGUAAAUAACAAUACAGAUUGUGUAGAUUGAGAUGAUUGCAGAUUCUGGAGAUGAUGAAGACGAUGGACAGAUCGGAUGAAUGAUCUCCAGGUGAAGAACAAGCUUGACCGGAUGAUUUGAAUUCAGAGGACAGAUUGCAGAUUCCAGAGGAUAGAUUGAAGAAGAUAGAGAUGGUGAUUUUGGGACCAAGAACUUGAAUCCAAAACCUAAAGAUUGAGUUGUAUUGAUUCAUAUUUAUGGAGGUAAGGACCCAACGGCUAUGAGGGUUUAGGUGGGUUUGGUAGGUGUGUUUAAUUGUGGUAAUAAAUAAGAUUAGGAAAUGUGUAUAUUAUGGAGUAAUGUAUUAGGGAGUAGGUGUAUAUUUGAAAAGAUAUUGUUGGCUAUUAAGUAAUAGGAUAUAUAUGUUUUUAUAGGGACUUGUAUGAUAUUUUCACAAUAAUUCUAAUAGCCCCCCUCGAAAAUAAGGCCAUAAGCUACUAAGGUUUGGGCUAGUACUUGGGUUAUGAGCUUAUAUUCAGAUAAUGUAUGUAUUGGUUAAAUGGAUGGGAUAUAUAUGGGUAUUAGUAUAUCUGGUUAUGUGGGUAUUUGGUUAUUCGGAUAUGGGUAUGCGGAUAUUUGGGUUUAAUGUGUUCCUAUAAAAAGGUGUGUUUGUGGGAUUUUUCUUUUGAUUGGUGGUGCUAGGGUUUUGGUUUGAUUUGGCGGGAGUCGCUUUGUUUCACAGGUUUUCUUCCCUUCCUUCUCCUUCUUGCAUUUUAUUUUCUGCUCUUCCUUGAUGUAUGUUCUUCAUUCCGAGUUGCAUCAGUAGUGUUUUGUAUAGUGUUCCCGUUACUGGUUUUGUGAAUAUAUCGGCUACAUUCAUUCUUGAGUCUACUCUGUCUAUUUUCAAAUUUUUCUCCAUGAUUUUGUCGCGUACUGUGUGAAUGUCGAUCUCGAUGUGUUUUGUUUUUUGAUGUAGUACUGGAUUUUUUGCUAUUGCUGCUGCAGAGUUGCUGUCUGUGUAGAGUAUUGGGGUCUCAUUUUUGUAGGUUCCAAUUUUUUUUAGUAGGUUGAUGAUCCAUGUUAUCUCGCAACUUGUGUAUGCUAAUGCCGUGUACUCUGCUUCUACUGAUGACCGAGCAACUGUGUGUUGUUUCUUUGUUUGCCAAGAUAUUAGGGACCCUCCAAGAAAGAUGGCGAAUGAUCUCCUUGUUGAAGGGCAUGAUGCCCAGUCAGAGUCUGAGAAGGCUCUUAAUCCUGAAGUUUUGGAUCCUGAGAAUAUGACAGCAAAACCAGGUGAUUGUUUAAUAUAUCUUAGCACUUUAUGUGCUGCAUUUAGGUCCUUUUGCCUUGGUUUGGCCAUGUUUUGGCUUAAUGUAUUUACUGCGUAUGUUAUGUCUGGUCUUGUUACUGUUAGGUAUAGCAAUUUUCCUAUUAUGCUUCUGUAUUGUGUGACAUCCUCAAGUUCUUUUUCAUCAUUCUCUUUUUUGUUAUUUUCUUGUGUUUUCUUUGCUGGUGUAGUUGUUGGUUUUGAGUUUAGGUAUCCAGUUGAUUUUAACAGGUCUAGUACAUAUUUUCUUUGCCCCAUGUAUAUUCCUGUUUGUGCAUAGGUGAAUUCUAGUCCUAAGAAGUAUUUCAGUUUUCCUAGAUCUUUUAUGUUAAAGAAAUUUGCCAAUUCUGUUUUUGUUUUGUUUAUUUGAUUAAUGUUAUUCCCUGUGAUUAAUAGAUCGUCUACAUAGGCUAGUAUGAAUGUUUUUGAAUUUUGUUCUUCUUUUAUGAAGAGUGCAUAGUCUGUUUUGGUUUGUUUAAAACCUAUUGUUUGUAGUGCACUGUUUAGUUUAUGAAACCACAUUAUAGAAGCUUGUUUAAGACCAUAUAGGGAUUUUUUCAGUUUACAUACUAGGUUCUGUUCCCUUUGGUUUUUGAUUUUUAAGCCUUGGGGAAUUUUCAUGAAGACUUCUUCAUCUAGAUCUCCAUGUAAGAAGCCUUGGGGCAUUUUGGACAUCCAUCUGGUGUAGAUGCCAUCUGUUUUGGGCUGCUAAGGCUAUUAUUGUCCUUAGUGUUGUCAUCCUAGAAACUGGUGCAAAUAUGUCGGUAUAAUCUAUUCCUUCAACUUGGUUAUAUCCUUUUGCUACCAGUCUGGCCUUGUGCCUUUCUAGUGUUCCAUCUGAGUUGAACUUUGUUUUGUAUACCCAUUUGUUUCCUAUUGCUUUCUUUCCUUCUGGUAGUUCUACAAUUUCCCAUGUCUUGUUUUCUUUUAAUGCUUUUAACUCUUUUUCCAUUGCAUCACACCAUUUUGAGUCCUUUAUUGCUUGUGUGUAUGAUUUUGGUUCUUUUUCUUUAUUUAUUUCUGUUAAGAAAGCAUUGUGUUUUUCUGAUAGAUUAUCAUAGGAUAUGUAUUUUUCUAUUGGGUAUUUUGAUUUGUUUGCAUUGUAGCAUAUGUAGUCUUCCAGAAUUUUAGGCCUUUUUGUUUCUCUGUUAGGCCUUUGUGGUGUUUGUUCUGGUUCUUUUCUUUUGCUUUGUGCAGUUGGUUCUGUUGUUUUAUUUGUUGUGUAAUUUAUGUCUUCUAUUAGGGAUGGGUUUAUGACUUCUUUUUCUUGUUGAUUUUUAAAGGGGAAGACUGUUUCGUAGAAGGCUACAUCUCUAUUUAUAAAGAUUGUUCCUUUUUCUAGAUCUAGGAUUUUGUAUCCCUUUGUCAGUGUUGUGUAACCAAGAAAAACUCCUUUUACUGCUCUUGGUUCAAACUUGUCUGAGAUUUUAUUGUUCUUCGCAUAGCAUAGGCAUCCAAAGACUCUUAGGCUGUUGUAAUUCGGUUCUUUGUUGAAAAGAAUGUGGUAUGAUGUUUUGUUUUGUAUGACAGGAGAGGGUGUCCUGUUUAUUAAGUAGCUUUCCGUUAAUAUGCAUUCUCCCCAGUAUUUUAUUGGUGUUUGGGAGUGAAACAUUAUGCUUCUAGCUACAUCUAGUAGGUGUCUAUGUUUUCUUUCUACAAUGGAGUUUUGUUGGGGGGUAUAUGGACAUGUCAACUGAUGUCUUAUGCCAUAUUUUGCUAAAAAUAUUUUGAACUCCUGGGAUUGGAAUUCAGUUCCAUUGUCACUCCUUAUGGUUCUUAUCUUUGUUUUGAAUUGAUUCAUUGCUUCUAUUGUGAAGUUUUUGAAGAUUUCAUAAGUAUUGUUUUUGUUUCUCAUCAGUAUUGUCCAUGUUGCCCUAGAAAAAUCGUCCACUAUGGUCAUAAAAUAUUUAUGUCCUUUGUGGGUUGGUUCUUUGUAGGGGCCCCAUAGGUCUAUAUGUAACAAUUCAAAAAUUCCUGAUGUUUUAGUAUUGCUAGAAGGAAAAGAGAAUCUAGUAUGUUUUGCCAUUGGGCAUUCAUUACAAAAUACAUUCUCUAAUUUAGGUAAAAAGGCAAUGUUUUUCCUAAUUAAAUCAUAUCUAAUCUGGGAUGGGUGUCCCAGUCUCUUGUGCCAAAUGUUUGCUGAUGGUGCUCUGUUGACAGCAUAUGAUCUUGGUUGUUCCAGGGCUUCUUUUCUUCCAUUCAGCAUGUAGAGUCCAUCGAUCCUUUUACCCAUAGAAAUCAAUCUCAUCUUCGAAUCCUGUAUCAAACAAUGAUCAGGAUGAAAUGAGAAGCUACAUUUUAACUGUUUUGUAAGUUUUGUUACUGAUAUCAAAUUUACAUUGAAGUCAGUAAUCUGUAGUACAUUGUGUAAUGUUAACAGAUCGUCUAUUUUGUAAUUCCCAAUGUAUCUCACAGUUGUUGUUUGUGAGUUUGGGAGGUUUACAACAAUAGGUUUUACUAAUGCCCUUUUUUCACUUAGUGUGAUGGCUGGUCCACACAUGUGAUCUGUGGCUCCACUGUCUAUUAUCCAGUCAGUGGUGUUCCUAGUUUUUGUAUUGAAACAGAGUGAUUCUUGGGGCUUACCAGUAUGGUUUGGGUUCAUUUCUGGUUGUGCUUGUGCUCUGCCCAUGUGUACAUAAUGCUUUUCCUCUCCUGCUUGUUGAUUUUGAUUUUGGUUAAGGAGGGAUCUUAGCUGUUCCAUUAUGUUUUGAUUGUUUUGAUUCCCACUCUGAUAUUCAGGUUGGCUAGCAUUGCUGUUUUGAUAUCUAUUGUCGUUUUCAGUUGUGUAAUACUCCUAAUUUAUCUCUUCCAUUGUGUAGUUGUUUUCAUUCUCCUGUCACUGUUGGUUUUCAACUUCCUCAGAGUAGCUGUUGUAUGCCCUGGUCUGUGGUCUGAAGUUGUUGUUGAAAUUUCUGCCUCUUUGAUAGUUGUGGCCUCUAGAUGUUUGUCCAGAUGGUCUGAAGGGUGGUCUUCUUUGUUGAUUGAAUUGUGGUUGGAAGGAUGGUCUGGGAUUUUGUUGAUUAUUCCCAUAUGCUGGUCUUUCUGCAGGGUAACCAUGCAAUUGGUAGCAUGUGUUGAUUGUGUGUCCUGGCCUUUUACAGCCAGUGCAGUAGGGCCUUUCAUUCUGUGGCCUUGGUGGUCUGUAAGGUCCUUGUGCUAGCAGUGUUGUUGCUGAUUCUUUUGGUGUCUCCAUGUCCUUUGUUUGUUCAUCUUGGGUCACCAUUGAAUAUGCUUUGUUUAGAUCAGGCUGGGGAUCCAUUUGCAUUAUUUGUCUGCUUAACUGUUUAUAUGUCUCAUUUAGUCCAUUCAGGAACUUUAUGAGUCUUUCCUCUUGUAUCACUUCUACACUUUUCCUGCUCAUGUCGUAUUCAUUCCAUAGUUUUGUCAGUUUUGUGUAGUAGUUGCAGACUGAAUCUUCUCCUUGUGUGAGAUUCAUGAUUUUUACUUGUAACUGGAAAACUAGUGGUCCAUUUUGUAUGUGGAAUCUUGCUUUCAACUCUUUCCAUAGCAAAUAUUCUGAUUUAUAGAAGAUGAAAGCUGGAGAGAGUUCUUGACUCAGUCCGUUUAGUAUCCAAGACCUUACUAGAGCAUCAGUUGCUUUCUAUCUCUCAUAUUCUUUCUCAUUUGUCUGUUCAGGGGUGGGUAUUUCACCUGUUAAGAAUUUCUCCUUGUUUUUGGAUUCCACAGCUAUAACAAACUGUGCACUCCAAAUGUUCCAGUUGUUUCCAUCCAUCUUGAAUGGUACUAACUGGAUUCCUGGAUUGUCUGAAUAUGUUGGGAUAACAUUUUCAUUUGACAUUUUGUUUCUGAAAAAUAAAUAAAUGCAGAUGAUUAGAAUGAUGCUGGAAAAUAUCAGGACAUAGGUGGUGCUGCUAUGAAAUGUGUUGAUCAUGUGGUGGUGCCAAGACAGUUUCCUGUUUAUCAACCUCCUUUUGAUCCUGUGGCUUGGAAAAAUGCAGCUUGGGCUGGAAGAGUGCUUGAGGACCCUAGGAGCUGGUGGGUUGAAUAUAUGAGGAAUAAUGAAGAUCCUGAUUUUGUGGAUGAUGAUCCAGAUCAGGGACCACAACCACUUGACAGUGAUCCUGAUGAUGAAGAACCUGAUGGUUUUGAUGAGGUCUGGAAUGUUGAUGAGGGAGCUGGUGGUGUUUAUGGACUUAGUGAUGAUGAGAAGGCUAGGGAAAGUGAAGACUAUUGUAUUUUUAAAUGUGAAGAAAAGGAUUGUGUGAGGAUGUUGAGGCGUAGGAGGAUGAAGGCAAGGUUGAGAGCUCACUAUAAGGAAAAAGCUCUGGACCUUGGAGUUUGGGAUGGGGAGUAUCAUUCUCGUCUAAUGAAUAGUCCUUAGUUGAAUGAUAAAAAAACUUUCUGAAACCUUUUGACAAUUUGUAAAAAACUUGAAAUGAAAGAAGAAAUACUGAUUACUUGUGGAAAAAAAAAAUGUGAUGGAUGUAUGAUAUUAUUAUGGAUGUAUUAUACUAUGAUGAAUAUCCUCUGUUUUCCUUUUUCAGGUGUGAAUGCUGAUCAGAUGACUGAUAUGGAUCGUCUCUUGGAUAGUAUGGAUGAUGUAUGGAGUGAUCCUUCUUUUUCUAUGAGUCUGGAUAGUAUCAAACAACUAUCACAGCAGAUUACUGACAAGAUAGAUCGUAAUGAUGGUGAGAUUGAUCCUGAUUAUGGAUUAUUUCUCUUGAUGAAGCUAAAAAAGGAAGCUGAUCUUGUGAUAAGUAAGUGAAAACCCAAAUUAACUUAUGAAGGAAAACUUUUUAUCUUUGAAAAAAAAAAAUGUUGUUGUAUGAUUAGCAAGAUCUUUUACUGCUCUGAUACCAUGUUAGAAUUGUAUAAAUAUGAUGUAUGAUUAUUCAAAUGUUUAAGAUGCGAUGAAGUAUAUAUAUGAUAGUAUUGAACUUGUUGGAAAGUAAAUAACAAUACAGAUUGUGUAGAUUGAGAUGAUUGCAGAUUGCAGAUUCUGGAGAUGAUGAAGACGAUGGACAGAUCGGAUGAAUGAUCUCCAGGUGAAGAACAAGCUUGACCGGAUGAUUUGAAUUCAGAGGACAGAUUGCAG